rnacentral:rRNA from 1 species
GAUUCUACGGCUCCUUGUUACGAUCAUUAGGGGUUCUGAGAGGAAGGUCCCCCACACUGGUACUGAGACACGGACCAGACUCCUACGGGAGGCAGCAGUGAGGAAUAUUGGUCAAUGGGCGAGAGCCUGAACCAGCCAAGUCGCGUGCAGGAAGAAUGUCCUAUGGAUUGUAAACUGCUUUUGCAGGGGAAUAAAAUGCGGCACGUGUGCUGUUUUGUAUGUACUCUGCGAAUAAGGAUCGGCUAACUCCGUGCCAGCAGCCGCGGUAAUACGGAGGAUCCGAGCGUUAUCCGGAUUUAUUGGGUUUAAAGGGUGCGUAGGCGGGAUAAUAAGUCAGUGGUGAAAGUUUGCAGCUUAACUGUAAAAUUGCCAUUGAAACUGUUAUUCUUGAGUGUAGAUAAGGUAGGCGGAAUGUGUUGUGUAGCGGUGAAAUGCAUAGAUAUAACACAGAACCCCGAUUGCGAAGGCAGCUUACCGGGCUACCACUGUCGCUGAUGCACGAAAGCGUGGGGAUCAAACAGGAUUAGAUACCCUGGUAGUCCACGCAGUAAACGAUGAAUACUAGCUGUAUGCGAUAUACUGUAUGUGGCAAAGCGAAAGCAUUAAGUAUUCCACCUGGGGAGUACGUUCGCAAGAAUGAAACUCAAAGGAAUUGACGGGGGCCCGCACAAGCGGAGGAACAUGUGGUUUAAUUCGAUGAUACGCGAGGAACCUUACCCGGGCUUGAAAUGCAAUCGACGGUAGUGGAAACAUUACUUCCAGCAAUGGCGAUUGUGUAGGUGCUGCAUGGUUGUCGUCAGCUCGUGCCGUGAGGUGUCGGCUUAAGUGCCAUAACGAGCGCAACCCUUAUCAUUAGUUGCCAUCGGGUUAUGCCGGGAACUCUAAUGAGACUGCCACCGUAAGGUGUGAGGAAAGUUGGGGAAUGACGUCAAAUCAGCACGGCCCUUACGUCCGGGGCGACACACGUGUUACAAUGGGGGGGUACAGCGGGCAGCUACCACGCGAGUGGAUGCUAAUCUCUGAAAGCCUCUCUUAAGUUCGGAAUCGGAAUCUGCAACUCCAACCCCAUGAAGCUGGGAU